CUCUUCGGAGUCCCUAGCAUCAAAUCAUAUCCAUAACACCUGUGAACUGUAAGGCUGUCUUGAAAACGAGAGUGAUUAGAGCGCCUGCCCAUUUUAUACAAACAUUAAAGUAACAAACGUAGUCUUAUUAUAACCUAAUAAAACUUUCAACAACGGAUCUCUUGGCUCUCGCAUCGAUGAAGAACGCAGCGAAAUGCGAUACGUAAUGUGAAUUGCAGAAUUCAGUGAAUCAUCGAAUCUUUGAACGCACCUUGCGCCCCUUGGCAUUCCGAGGGGCACACCCGUUUGAGUGUCGUGAAAUUCUCAAAAACCUUUUUCUUUUUGGGAAAGGGUUUUUGGACUUGGAGGCUUUUUGCUGGCUUCACCUUGAAGUGAGCUCCUCCUAAAUGAAUCAGUGGGGUCCGCUUUGCCGAUCCUUGACGUGAUAAGAUGUUUCUGCGUCUUUGGGUUUGGCACUGUCACCUGCUUCUAACUGUCUCAUUGACAAUGAUGGUGCUCCGGUCACCACCGCUCUUAUCGGUGGGAGGCUUGACCCACAAAAACAAAACCUUGACCUCAAAUCGGGUGAGACUACCCGCUGAACUUAAGCAUAUCAAUAAGCGGAGGAAAAGAAACUAACAAGGAUUCCCCUAGUAACUGCGAGUGAAGCGGGAAAAGCUCAAAUUUAA
rnacentral:rRNA from 1 species